rnacentral:lncRNA from 1 species
UCCCUGCGUGCGUUCAGCAGUGCGUAGACUCCGGGUACCCAGGUGGAUACUGUGCACUCAAGGAACGGAUCUGCUUCUGUGCGAAGUGCACAAGUCAAGAGCCCGUCAAGCAUCCUAGAAAGUUUCUUUCACUGGAUAAUUAAACUAGAAGAUAUCUCGCGCAUUGCUGGGAGACAUUUAGCAGGCUUCUAAAUGCUAAAUUGUACCUUAUAGUUUCGAUGGAAUAAUUAAAAGUUGUUUUUACUAAUUGUGCAUUGAUGUCUUUUGGGUUGUUAGCAACAAAAUG